rnacentral:lncRNA from 10 species
CAUUCUGACUUGAAACCUCUCUUCUGAUCCAGGAACAACUAUCCUGAGCUGCUGUUCAUGAUUCAGGUUGGCAUCAAUCAAAUUGGAAGCACAUGAAUUAUACAUUAUUGUUUCUGAGCCACAGUUUUUUGUUUUUAUCUGCUAAAGACAUGAAGAAUGGGAACACUACCAUUGCAUCUCCCAGCCCCAGAGAAGGAUGUUCACUCCCAUGUUCUCACCUUUUCUUCAUCUUUAUUUGAUGGCUAUAACUUUGUCAUUCAUAUUUUUUAAAAAUCGUGGGUGGAUGUUUUGGAUUUUUUUAAGAUAUACAGUAAAUACCAACUUCUUAAAUUUUCCCUCGCUGCUUCCAGAGGAGGCUGGUAUAUUUUUUCUCUGUUCAACAACGAGAGAAGUAUCAAGUUUUAGGCUCCCUUCAAAUCAAGACAGUUCGUGUGUAUCUUUGUGGUUCAUAAUCUGAAAACAAAGCAGAUUCUGUGUGACUGAGAUGGGAUCCUAGGGGCUGGAAACCAUCACUGAUUGCCUGUACUGUCCUUCUCCUGUCGUACCAUACCCUUUUCUUUUAAUAAAGACUUAUGUGAGUAUA